AUUGAACGCUGGCGGCAUGCUUUACACAUGCAAGUCGAACGGCAGCACGGGUGCUUGCACCUGGUGGCGAGUGGCGGACGGGUGAGUAAUACAUCGGAACGUAUCCAGAAGAGGGGGAUAACGCAUCGAAAGAUGUGCUAAUACCGCAUAUUCUCUGAGGAGGAAAGCAGGGGAUCGAAAGACCUUGCGCUUUGGGAGCGGCCGAUGUCUGAUUAGCUAGUUGGUGGGGUAAAGGCCUACCAAGGCGACGAUCAGUAGUUGGUCUGAGAGGACGACCAGCCACACUGGGACUGAGACACGGCCCAGACUCCUACGGGAGGCAGCAGUGGGGAAUUUUGGACAAUGGGCGCAAGCCUGAUCCAGCAAUGCCGCGUGAGUGAAGAAGGCCUCGGUUGUAAGGACUCUUCUAGUCGAGAAG
rnacentral:rRNA from 1 species